rnacentral:rRNA from 1 species
GCAAAGGCAUAAGCCAGCUUGACUGUGAGAGUGACGGCUCGAGCAGGUACGAAAGUAGGUCUUAGUGAUCCGGUGGUUCUGAAUGGAAGGGCCAUCGCUCAACGGAUAAAAGGUACUCCGGGGAUAACAGGCUGAUACCGCCCAAGAGUUCAUAUCGACGGCGGUGUUUGGCACCUCGAUGUCGGCUCAUCACAUCCUGGGGGCUGAAGUAGGUCCCAAGGGUAUGGCUGUUCGCCGAUUUAAAGUGGUACGCGAGCUGGGUUUAGAACGUCGUGAGACAGUUCGGUCCCUAUCUGCCGUGGGCGUUGGAAGAUUGAGAGGGGUUGCUCCUAGUACGAGAGGACCGGAGUGAACGCA